CCUACGGGAGGCAGCAGUGAGGAAUAUUGGUCAAUGGACGGAAGUCUGAACCAGCCAUGCAGCGUGAAGGAUGACGGCUCUAUGAGUUGUAAACUGCUUUUGUAUUAGUGUAAACCCCCCUACGUGUAGGGGCUUGAAAGUAUAAUACGAAUAAGGAUCGGCUAACUCCGUGCCAGCAGCCGCGGUAAUACGGAGGAUCCAAGCGUUAUCCGGAUUUAUUGGGUUUAAAGGGAGCGUAGACGGUUUGUUAAGUUAGAGGUGAAAUACCGGUGCUCAACACCGGAACUGCCUCUAAUACUGGUAAACUAGAGUGUAGUUGCGGUAGGCGGAAUGUAUGGUGUAGCGGUGAAAUGCUUAGAUAUCACACAGAACACCGAUUGCGAAGGCAGCUUACCAAACUAUAUCUGACGUUGAUGCACGAAAGCGUGGGUAGCAAACAGGAUUAGAUACCCCAGUAGUC
rnacentral:rRNA from 1 species